AUACGGAGGAUGCGAGCGUUAUCCGGAUUUAUUGGGUUUAAAGGGAGCGUAGGUGGGAUAUUAAGUCAGCUGUGAAAGUUUGGGGCUCAACCUUAAAAUCGCAGUUGAUACUGGUUUCCUUGAGUACGGUACAGGUGGGCGGAAUUCGUGGUGUAGCGGUGAAAUGCUUAGAUAUCACGAAGAACUCCGAUCGCGAAGGCAGCUCACCGGGCCGGAACUGACACUGAUGCUCGAAAGUGCGGGUAUCAAACAGGAUUAGAUACCCUGGUAGUCCGCACAGUAAACGAUGAAUACUCGCUGUGUGCGAUACACUGUAAGCGGCCAAGCGAAAGCGUUAAGUAUUCCACCUGGGGAGUACGCCGGCAACGGUGAAACUCAAAUGAAUUGACGGGG
rnacentral:rRNA from 1 species